UCGGACGGUUCAGAUCAAACGCGAUGAACGGUCCAGAUUAAAUGGAGAUGAAUAUAAAUAACCCUUUUCACACCAAACCCUAACCCUAGCCGCCGGACACCCUUGUCGAAGAAGAAGACCCAACCGUCGGGAAGGAGAGUUGCCGCCACCCGUCGCUGCACUAGAGCCCUUUUCGAUCGCAAAAAGAGGUAAAAAAAAUUUAUUUGCUCGGAAUU
rnacentral:lncRNA from 1 species